AAUAAUAAUAAAUGACCACAUGCAUAGCCUGUGUUGAGUUGUUAUCAACAUACCUAUACAGAAACAGACACGAUUUUUGCACCGUUUUUUCUGAUAACGGAAAUAGACUCCUUCAUGCGCAAGUUCCACUUGAGCUCGGCUGGUUCUUAUUAUAAAUAAUUGUGUAAUAUAUUUUUGCAGAUAAUUUCAAUUAUUGCGAGUGUUGUGGCUUAGAAACAAUUAGGCAGUUAAUAAUAAACAAGGCUCGGGCACUAUCAAACCUUUUUCCUAAAAAGCAAAAAGCUGCUUCUGCUGCAUCACAAGAUUUAUUUGAUGACUUUCAGUUUGAUAACGAAGAGUUGACGCUAAUCAAGGAUUCAUUGAUGAUUGAUGAUGCUUUUUCGGACAACAAGAAAAAACAGCUACUGUCAGUCAGCAGUCAGUAAUGAUGCUUCUUCGGACAACAAGGAAAAACUCAGCAGUCAGCAGUGAUUUUAUUUCUUUAGAAGAAGAAGAGAAAGAAAACAUAUCAAAUGGCGGGCAGACCCCCAAAAAAACGUAAAUAUUCAAGCAGGUUUAGUACAGAAUAUCAGCCCCCCAGGACUAACUAUUUAUAUUUAGCACUUUCAAACUUGAAUGGUGUUACCAUUCAAGUAUCAGUACAUUCAAUUGGUUCUAUGAUUUAUGAAUGUGUUCAAUGUCAAGCACUUCAUUUUUUAGGUGAAAAAAUUAAAAAUCAUUUGAAGACUGUAUCAAAGAACUUAAAACAAAGAGAUUUAUAGAGAGUAAACCUUAAAAAUAUGCGACGUAGUUUCUUUGCGGUUCUUCGACGCUUGCGCUUUGGAACCGCGUUAAACUUAGUUUUUAAGUAAAUAUUGACGUCAAUCAACAAAUGGUAAAAAUAUUUUUUGACAUACCUAAUACUAUUACUAUUAAUAAGAGUUAUUUACAUUACCUAUAUUAACGAUUGAAUUUGAUUGUUUUGUUCAUUUGUCUUAGUUUAUUUUGAAUGUUGAUUUAAAAUAAAAAUAAUUUGUGUAAAAAC